rnacentral:lncRNA from 1 species
UCAACACUCUUCAUAUGAACGAGGAUAUUUUCAUAGAAUCCUCUUGGUUUGUAUGAACCAUAUGACAAAGAGUUAUUACUCAAAUAUCUUUCCAUGAUUAUCCAUGGGUUAUCUGCCCAUUGUGAGUCCUUUUCUUCUAUGAGAAGAAUGAUCUCCUUAUUAAGAUUUUCAAUGUAAAGAUGUGAAUCAUCAUCAUCUUUUGCAAUAUUGGCAUACGAUGUAUGUGAACUUGACUCAGGGAUAUUACCUUCUUUCUGCUGUUUUUGUUUCAAGAAUUCUUGAAACUCAUCAUGAAGUGGAUCUUUUGGAUUACUAGAAGUAUUACUUCCAGAAAAGCUUUGAGCUAUAAGCUUCUUUUUCCCAUGUUGAAGAAUAGUGUUGGAGGUAUCAUUUCUUCC